rnacentral:rRNA from 1 species
UGGGGGAAUAUUGGGCAAUGGGCGAAAGCCUGACCCAGCAACGCCGCGUGAAGGAAGAAGGUUUUCGGAUUGUAAACUUCUUUUAUCAGGGACGAAGAAAGUGACGGUACCUGAUGAAUAAGCCACGGCUAACUACGUGCCAGCAGCCGCGGUAAUACGUAGGUGGCAAGCGUUAUCCGGAUUUACUGGGUGUAAAGGGUGUGUAGGCGGAGAGGCAAGUCAGGCGUGAAAAUUACGGGCUUAACCCGUAACUUGCGCUUGAAACUGUUCCCCUUGAGUGUCGGAGAGGUAAAUGGAAUUCCCAGUGUAGCGGUGAAAUGCGUAGAUAUUGGGAGGAACACCGGUGGCGAAGGCGGUUUACUGGACGACAACUGACGCUGAGACACGAAAGUGUGGGGAGCAAACAGGAUUAGAUACCCUGGUAGU